AGCAGCGGUGAUGGGUGACCACCGCGCUGUUCCUGCGAUGGGACGCUCUCCAGUUCCGACUCGGGACUCCGGCGGGCUGCCGCUACUGCAGAGUUUCUCGGAGACUGGGCUGGGGGCUGUGCGGGUGGCCAGGGUGGCUCGAAGGCUGCGUGGCCGCGCCUCCGCCUCCCCCUUCUGCGAACCCUAACUACGUGGCUACAUCGCAAAACUCAGGAGCCACUUGGGCCCGGCGUUCGUCUCUACGUGAGUCCCCGGAACCUUUCCACCUCCUCCUGCCGGGAAUAAAAAGCGACCAGGCGCGAGGAUUUCAUUGCAUCCUUGCAGGGACACACCAAAAUCCCAGCGAUGACCCUGACUAACGUUGGAAAGUUACAGCCCACAGCUGAGCUCUUCACCACGCGUCCUUAACCUGCCUCUCCGGAGUUCCUCAGCUCCUAUGGAGAGAAGCAUGGUCAUUUGAGUUUUGAUUUUCUUUUCGAGGGAACUGUGUGCCUGCUAACUGCUGCAAAAGUAAAAUUGCCUAACUUGGGCAUGUUCCUGAUUCUGCACAGACUACCAUGGUUCUUUGAAUAAAGGAUAUUCACCAAAAAAGGUUUUACUGCAGGUAAUACAUCCUGUGUGUUACAACAGGAAGGAAAAUGACAUUUAUAAUACUUCAAUUUGAACAUUUCAGUUUGAAAAGCUAAAUAUUUAAGG